AAAAAAUGCUGUUAGUAAUAUAAGGAAGCAGGUGAGAAUGAAACAUCAGAAAAAGCCAGAAAACACAAAGGAGGAUAUGCUAUGACCCAAACGGGCUGGCCGGGCUCGGGAUCGGGCCGGGCUGGGGAUCGGGCCGGGCUCGGGAUCGGGCUGGCCCAAACGAGCUGGCCCAAAUGGGCCGGCCCAGGUUAGGGCCCAA
rnacentral:lncRNA from 1 species